rnacentral:rRNA from 1 species
GUCUUAGACCAUACCACCCUGUAUGUGUCUGAUCUCAGAAGCUAAGCAGGGUCAGGCCUGGUUAGUACUUGGAUGGGUGAUUGUCAAGGCUGCCCUUCACAGCUU